rnacentral:rRNA from 1 species
AUCUUGGACAAUGGGCGAAAGCCUGAUCCAGCCAUGCCGCGUGAGUGAUGAAGGCCUUCGGGUUGUAUAGCCCUUUUGCCAGGGACGAUAAUGACUGUACCUGGACAAUAAGCCCCGGCUAACUUCGUGCCAGCAGCCGCGGUAAUACGCAGGGGGCUAGCGUUGUUCGGAAUUACUGGGCGUAAAGCGUGCGCAGGCGGUUUCUCAAGUCAGGGGUGAAAGCCAGGAGCUCAACUCCGGAAUUGCCCUUGAAACUGUGAAGCUAGAGUGCGGGAGAGGUGAGUGGAAUUCCCAGUGUAGAGGUGAAAUUCGUAGAUAUUGGGAAGAACACCGGUGGCGAAGGCGGCUCACUGGCCCGUUUCUGACGCUCAUGCACGACAGCGUGGGGAUCAAACAGG